rnacentral:rRNA from 1 species
AAUAGAUACCCCGGUAGUCCACGCCGUAAACGAUGAGUGCUAAGUGUUGGAGGGUUUCCGCCCUUCAGUGCUGCAGCUAACGCAUUAAGCACUCCGCCUGGGGAGUACGGUCGCAAGACUGAAACUCAAAGGAAUUGACGGGGGCCCGCACAAGCGGUGGAGCAUGUGGUUUAAUUCGAAGCAACGCGAAGAACCUUACCAGGUCUUGACAUCUCCUGACCGCCCUGGAGACAGGGUCUUCCCUUCGGGGACAGGAUGACAGGUGGUGCAUGGUUGUCGUCAGCUCGUGUCGUGAGAUGUUGGGUUAAGUCCCGCAACGAGCGCAACCCUUGGUUCUAGUUGCCAGCAUUCAGUUGGGCACUCUAGAGCGACUGCCGGCGACAAGUCGGAGGAAGGUGGGGAUGACGUCAAAUCAUCAUGCCCCUUAUGACCUGGGCUACACACGUGCUACAAUGGAUGGUACAAAGGGCAGCGAAGCGGCGACGCAUGAGCGAAUCCCAGAAAACCAUUCUCAGUUCGGU